AUACUUAUCUAGCAGGGGUGAUACCAUGAUCAGAGAGAUGGUUUUUCCAGGGUAAGGCUCAUCCAUUGCACUGCAGGUGUGCUGACCCCUGCAAUUUCCCCAAAUGCAGCCAACUUGACUGUGUAAUUUGUGGUAGUGGGGGACUGUGUCUGCGCUUUUCUCUG